GAAAGUUUUGAUGGGGUGUGGUUUUCUUUUAAGACUCAAAGGUCUUGUUUCUGCCGAAUUUUCAUCGGCUGUCCCUUGCCUUUAUGGGUAGGAGAUGACCCGCCUUCCCCCUGCUCGGUUAUGGGUCUCCCUCCCCUCCUUGGGGUGGGGUUGUGUAUAUUUCUUUUGGACUUGCUUUUGUUGCAUGCAGGUGUAGUUUGAUUUGAAGAGGGUCUUGGAGAAACCUGGAUGGUGAUGGAUCUUAUGUGCAG
rnacentral:misc_RNA from 1 species